CCUACGGGAGGCAGCAGUGGGGAAUUUUGGACAAUGGGCGAAAGCCUGAUCCAGCAAUGCCGCGUGAGUGAAGAAGGCCUUCGGGUUGUAAAGCUCUUUUGUCAGGGAAGAAACGGUGUGGGCUAAUAUCCUGCACUAAUGACGGUACCUGAAGAAUAAGCACCGGCUAACUACGUGCCAGCAGCCGCGGUAAUACGUAGGGUGCAAGCGUUAAUCGGAAUUACUGGGCGUAAAGCGUGCGCAGGCGGUUUUGUAAGUCUGUCGUGAAAUCCCCGGGCUCAACCUGGGAAUUGCGAUGGAGACUGCAAGGCUAGAAUCUGGCAGAGGGGGGUAGAAUUCCACGUGUAGCAGUGAAAUGCGUAGAGAUGUGGAGGAACACCGAUGGCGAAGGCAGCCCCCUGGGUCAAGAUUGACGCUCAUGCACGAAAGCGUGGGGAGCAAACAGGAUUAGAUACCCUGGUAGUCCACGCCCUAAACGAUGUCUACUAGUUGUCGGGUUUUAAUAACUUGGUAACGCAGCUAACGCGUGAAGUAGACCGCCUGGGGAUACGGUCGCAAGNUUAAAACGUCAAAUGAAUUGACGGCUGNGAGNGCGAGACGACGACGAGGAGGAGG
rnacentral:rRNA from 1 species